UUUUCAGAUUUUUUGUA
rnacentral:sRNA from 1 species